GACGUAGGGGGCAAGCGUUGUCCGGAUUUAUUGGGCGUAAAGAGCGUGUAGGCGGUCAGGUAGGUCGGUUGUGAAAACUGGAGGCUCAACCUUCAGAGGUCGACCGAAACCCCCUGGCUAGAGUCCGGGAGAGGAGAGUGGAAUUCCUGGUGUAGCGGUGAAAUGCGCAGAUAUCAGGAAGAACACCCGUGGCGAAAGCGGCUCUCUGGAACGGUACUGACGCUGAGACGCGAAAGCGUGGGGAGCGAACAGG
rnacentral:rRNA from 1 species